CCUACGGGAGGCAGCAGUGAGGAAUAUUGGUCAAUGGGCGCGAGCCUGAACCAGCCAAGUCGCGUGAGGGAAGACGGUCCUAUGGAUUGUAAACCUCUUUUGUCGGGGAGCAAAAGACGCCACGCGUGGCGUUCCGAGAGUGCCCGAAGAAAAAGCAUCGGCUAACUCCGUGCCAGCAGCCGCGGUAAUACGGAGGAUGCGAGCGUUAUCCGGAUUUAUUGGGUUUAAAGGGUGCGCAGGCGGAAGCUCAAGUCAGCGGUAAAAUUGAGAGGCUCAACCUCUUCGAGCCGUUGAAACUGGUUUUCGUGAGUAAGUGAGAAGUAUGCAGAAUGCGUGGUGUAGCGGUGAAAUGCAUAGAUAUCACGAAGAACUCAGAUUGCGAAGGCAGCAUACCGGCGCUCAACUGACGCUCAUGCACGAAAGUGUGGGUAUCGAACAGGAUUAGAUACCCGUGUAGUC
rnacentral:rRNA from 1 species